rnacentral:rRNA from 1 species
GAUGAACGCUGGCGGCGUGCCUAACACAUGCAAGUCGAACGAAAAGACGAUGAGCUUACUCUCCUGACGUUGGCGGCGGACGGGUGAGUAACACGUGGAUAACCUACCACUUUGACUUGGAGAACAACGGGAGACAGGAGAUACUACUAGAUAACAUGAUGAACCGGAUGGAUCAAGAGUUAUUGAGGCUUUUGCUGAUUCUAAGAGCUGAAUCCGCGUUGCAUUAGUUAGUUGGUAAGGUAACGGCCUACCAAGGCAACGAUGCGUAGCCGAGCUGAGAGGAUGAUCGGCCACACUGGAACUGAGACACGGUCCAGACUCCUACGGGAGGCAGCAGUAGGGAAUCUUGGGCAAUGGGCGAAAGCCUGACGGAGCAACGCCGCGUGAGUGAAGAAGGUCUUCGGAUCGUAAAACUCUGUUAUUGGGGAAGAACAAAUGUGUAAGUAUCUAUGCACGUCUUGACGGUACCUAAACAGAAAGCCACGGCUAACUACGUG